rnacentral:rRNA from 1 species
GAUGAACGCUGGCGGCGUGCCUAAUACAUGCAAGUCGAGCGAACGGACGCGAAGCUUGCUUCUCUGAUGUUAGCGGCGGACGGGUGAGUAACACGUGGAUAAUCUACCUAUAAGACUGGGAUAACUUCGGGAAACCGGCUCUAAUCCCGGAUAAUAUUUUGAACCGUAUGGUUCAAAAGUGAAAGACGGUCUUGCUGUCUCUUAUAGAUGGAUCCGCGCUGCAUUAGAUAGUUGGUAAGGUAACGGCUUACCAAGGCAACGAUGCAUAGCCGACCUGAGAGGGGGAUCGGCCGCACUGGAAGUGAGACACGGACCAGACUACUACGAGAGGGCGCAGUAGCGAAUCUGCGGCAGUGGGCGAAAGCCUGACACAGCAACGCGGCGUGAGUGAUGAAGGCCUUCGGUUCGUAAAGCUCUGUUAUUAGGUAAGAACAGAUGUGGAAGUAGCUGUGCACAUAUUGACGGUACCUGGUCAGGAAGCCACGGCUAACUACGUG